rnacentral:rRNA from 1 species
AUUGAACGCUGGCGGCAUGCUUUACACAUGCAAGUCGAACGGUAACAGGCCGCAGGGUGCUGACGAGUGGCGAACGGGUGAGUAAUGCAUCGGAACGUGCCCAGUCGUGGGGGAUAACGCAGCGAAAGCUGUGCUAAUACCGCAUACGAUCUAUGGAUGAAAGCGGGGGACCGUAAGGCCUCGCGCGAUUGGAGCGGCCGAUGUCAGAUUAGGUAGUUGGUGGGGUAAAGGCUCACCAAGCCAACGAUCUGUAGCUGGUCUGAGAGGACGACCAGCCACACUGGGACUGAGACACGGCCCAGACUCCUACGGGAGGCAGCAGUGGGGAAUUUUGGACAAUGGGCGCAAGCCUGAUCCAGCAAUGCCGCGUGCAGGAAGAAGGCCUUCGGGUUGUAAACUGCUUUUGUACGGAACGAAAAGGUUUGGGUUAAUACCCUGGGCCGAUGACGGUACCGUAAGAAUAAGCACCGGCUAACUACGUGCCAGCAGCCGCAGUAA